rnacentral:rRNA from 1 species
GACGAACGCUGGCGGCGUGCUUAACACAUGCAAGUCGAGCGGUAAGGCCCUUUCGGGGGUACGACGAGCGGCGAACGGGUGAGUAACACGUGGGUGACCUGCCCUCAGCUCUGGGAUAAGCCUGGGAAACCGGGUCUAAUACUGGAUAUGACUCCAUGACGCAUGUUGUGGGGUGGAAAGCCUUGUGCGGCUGAGGAUGGGCCCGCGGCCUAUCAGCUUGUUGGUGGGGUGAGGCCUACCAAGGCGACGACGGGUAGCCGGCCUGAGAGGGCGACCGGCCACACUGGGACUGAGACACGGGCCCAGACUCCUACGGGAGGCAGCAGUGGGGAAUCUUGCGCAAUGGGCGAAAGCCUGACGCAGCGACGCCGCGUGAGGGAUGACGGCCUGG